rnacentral:sRNA from 1 species
AGGGAAAGAAGAGUGAGUGCUUGAUGGUUUAUCAACUCAGGUGGAAGGGAAAUUAGCAUUUCCAACAGUGAGUGAAGGAAAUUGACUAUAUGCCAGGAAACUACUAUGUGUGUGUGUGUGUGUGUGUGUGUACAAUAGUCACCCUU